CGAACCUAACGCCUAUUUUGGUGGAAUGGGAAUCGCUCCACUUCGGUUCAAUGCGAUAUUUUGCUUGGGUUUAAACACGAUAGAAAUUAGGUUUUAAACUCUAUUUUCGUUCACCCAAAACAGAGAACCAACGAGAGAGAGAGAGAGCACGUAUACGGCGUAUACGGUACCGAAAACUUUCGUUUCUUCAAGCGGAGUGAAACCUGGGUGAACGUGGGGGUUUGGGAUCACUUAUAUACGACCUAAGGAAGCUUUUUAACGUGGUAUAAGGGGCGGAAGUCGUCGUUUUGAGAUUCGCCAUUUUUGAAGCUUCAAAGGUGCGGCUUAGUUACGGACUCGAAUUCGAACGUGUUUAAGCUUGUUCUUGGGUCAAGGGAGGUUAUAUUUGAGUGCAUGGGACCCUAAGGAUUGUUUUUGACGUAAGAAAACGAAGCUUUAACGUCCAAAACGAAAAUCCAAAAUUUUGACUCCAUUAAAGGCGGUACACCGCCAACGAAGAAGACAACCCCGAUCUGCCUUCUCGGACCAUUUUUCUUGAUCGUUUUGAGGUCCUGAGCAUUGUGGAGAGCUUCCCCAAUCGAAAGGACGCUUCAAGAGCCAUCGGAGACAAAGUUACACUUUACCGGCGACGAAACCGACGAGAACGCCGGCGACCGCGUUCUGACCGUUUCUGAGGUGUUUUUCUUAGAUAUUUUUGUAUAUUUUGAUUCCUUAUUUUAUUCUAAGGUGCUUGGUGAAGUUUCAUAAUUUUCUGAAUUUAUUUGGAAUUAUUGUGAAUUAUUUAGUAUAAUUCAUAGAUUAAUUAUGAAAAAUACUUAGAUUACUCAGAAAAAUCUAAAUAUAUUUUAUAUGAUUAGUUAUGAGAUAUAAACUAUUGCAAAAUUGGUAGAUUCGAAUUUCGGUUAAUUUUGUAUUUUUCAUGAAUUAUUUGUGUUAUUUAUUAAAUUAAUUAUGAAAAAUACUUAGGUUGCUCAGAAAAAUCUAGAUUAAUUUUAUUUGAUGGACUAUGAUAUAUAAACUGUUAUAAAAUUGGUAGAUUGAAUUUUCAGGCGAUUAUGUAUUUUUCAUGAAUUAUUGAUGUUAUUUCUUAUUUAAAUUAUGAAAAAUACCUAGGAUGCUUAGAAAAUUCAAAGAAAAUUAUUUAUGACCUAUUACAGAUUAUAAAGUGUAUUAGAAGAGUUAGAUUCGGUUUUUAAUCAAUUUUGGUAUUUUUCAUGAAUUUACUUAAUUAAUGCUUAAGUUAAUUAUGAAAAAUAGAUAAGUGUUGUUAAAAUAGUAAAAUGUAUUUUUGAAAUACCAUUUACUGCCUAUGAUAUCAAAAGGAAUAGGUUUUAUGAUUUAUUAGUUGCUGUAGGUAUUUAUUAUAAUUAUUGGUGAUUAAUUAACUAUUUAUUUGGAGUUUAAUAAGAAUAAAUAGUAUUUUAGUAAAUUUUACGUAAAAAUGUGUUGUAUGAAUUCAUGUUUUACGUUAAGAAUGUUUGUUUGAGUCCAUGCAAUAUGUUUGUGUGAAUCAAAAUAAUAAAUGCUUAUGUAUGGUGUGUCAUGCAAGUGAAAUGGACCUAUGUGUUACGUAUUUUUACGUAAGUUUCUGUAUGAGUUUAGAGAUUCAUACUUGAAUGUAUUUUGAGUGUAUUGUUGUGUUAAUGAAUGUCUAGGAUCUUGUUCUCAACAAGGAAAUUCGUUGAGGUGCUCGAGGUAGCAAGUGUGGUCUUAGCAACUGAGGUAAGGGUAAGGCUAAGCAGUGAGAAUGAAGAGCUCGAGGCGUGGACCGCAUGUUAGGGGGCUGGCACAGUAUUUUGCUUUUAAUGUUUUUAACUGCUAAACAUUUUGGAACUAUUAUUUUGACUUAACUAGUUCUUAUUUAAGUUUACAGUACUAAAAGUAUUUUGUUUUAAACAAUGAGAUCUCAUGCUUGGAUAUUUUUCAAUAAAGCAGUAUUUGAUUGUCUUUAUCUUAUUAAAUUAUUUUA